rnacentral:rRNA from 1 species
CCUACGGGAGGCAGCAGUGGGGAAUUUUGGACAAUGGGGGCAACCCUGAUCCAGCCAUGCCGCGUGCGGGAAGAAGGCCCUCGGGUUGUAAACCGCUUUCAGAUGGAAAGAAAUGGUGUAGGUUAAUAACCUGCAUUGAUGACGGUACCAUCAGAAGAAGCACCGGCUAACUACGUGCCAGCAGCCGCGGUAAUACGUAGGGUGCGAGCGUUAAUCGGAAUUACUGGGCGUAAAGCGUGCGCAGGCGGUUCUUUAAGACAGGUGUGAAAUCCCCGGGCUUAACCUGGGAAUUGCGCUUGUGACUGGAGGGCUAGAGUGUGGCAGAGGGGAAUGGAAUUCCUGGUGUAGCAGUGAAAUGCGUAGAUAUCAGGAGGAACACCGAUGGCGAAGGCAGUUCCCUGGGCCAACACUGACGCUCAUGCACGAAAGCGUGGGGAGCAAACAGGAUUAGAUACCCUGGUAGUCCACGCCGUAAACGAUGUGUGCUAGAUGUUGGAGGGUUACCUUUCAGUGUCGCAGCUAACGCACUAAGCACACCGCCUGGGAAGUACGGUCGCAAGAUUAAAACUCAAAUGAAUUGACGG